CACGUAGGGGGCAAGCGUUGUCCGGAUUUAUUGGGCGUAAAGAGCUCGUAGGCGGUUUCGUAAGUCGGAUGUGAAAACUCCAGGCUCAACUUGGAGACGCCAUUCGAUACUGCGAUGACUUGAGUCCGGUAGGGGAGUGUGGAAUUCCUGGUGUAGCGGUGAAAUGCGCAGAUAUCAGGAGGAACACCAAUUGCGAAGGCAGCUCGCUGGGACGUGACUGACGCUGAGACGCGAAAGCGUGGGGAGCAAACAGG
rnacentral:rRNA from 1 species